GUGUGAAUAUAAUCUCCAUUAGGAAAUUGGUUUUGGGCUUCGAAAGUAUCAAUUUUUAAGGAAAACAUAUAGACCAUCAAAUUCAUAUUCUUUAGUUUGGGCAGGGGCUGCGCGAACGCAAGCCCCCACGGCAACAAAUUAUGACAUUGACUCUCCUACAUUGAGGAGAUCAUAGGCAGGCACCCCUUCAGAGUGCAAUGAAGGUCACCAGCCCAGGCCAUGAGCCUUCUUGAUCGCUCAUAGACCCUGUCCAGGUAAGUACUUUCUUCGGUACUCGUCCUUUAUUUUUAUACCCAUACCGCCUCAUUUCUUUGACCUUAAUUGGUCGAUGUGGGACAUGCUUACUGAUCAGCAGUAAUCCAAAAAUGUAGUUCGAAGGUUUUUUUUAAGGUACUUUGGAAAGUUCAUGGAUUGUUAGACGAAUUAUUAAGUGGGGGCAGCAGUGGCAAAGCAACGAAAGCACAGGGGAGGAACCGCCCAUCUGGUUCGUCUGAGCUUGCCGAAAAAUUUAGUUAUGCAGCCUGCGUUGAGCUUGUCGGAAAGUUGGCUGAGGAGAGCCUCGAUUGACUCCAUGGUCAUUUGGGAGAGCCUUGAUUUUACCUUAGGAGUGUGAUAUCUACACACCCUAUUUUACUUCUCACAUACCUUUUUAAUUUUUGAUCUUCCUAUCGAAUGAAUUGAAGAAUAUCAACGGACAGAAAUUAUCAAGGAGUAUGUGGAUAACACAUCCCUUACUUUAAUGUUGUCGUUUUUUUUAAUAUAGAAGGAGGACAAUUAAUGGCAAGCCAUAGUUAUUUUAAUGAAACAUUGAGGAUAGAUAUGUACUAAGAGAAAGGAUCCUCGUCGGAUCCUUUUUGUAAGAAUUUUGGGGAUCUUCCAAUCAUAUUCAUUCAUCGUACAUCGUGCGGUCAGUUUUUAUCAGGUACUGUUUAUAUUUAAUUUUAAAUACAAAAUUUAGAAUAAUUUUUUAUAAUAUGAUGUAUGAUAAACAUAUGUGAUUGGAGGAUCCGACAAGGAUCCUCCUGGAUGUACUGAUACCCCUUUCCUUAUCCUUUAAAACCCCACCUCACCUGUCCCACCAAUACAACAACCAAAACAUCUAUUUUCAUAUAUUUUGACUUUUGCAAUAUAUAUUUAUGUAAUCAUUUUAUAUAAAAGAACCAAAGCAUCUAUUUCCAUCUAUUUCCGUAUAUUUUGACAUUUUGCAAUGUAUAUUUAUAUACCAUUAUUGUACAUUAAUGCAUAUUUUUGUUAACGUAUCCAUGCCGUCUUAUAUCCUAAUUUUUAGAAAAUAGUUGUAUCGUUGUAUUUGUGUCCCUAUCCAUACCACAUAGUUAUUAUCUAAAAGGAUUUGGUUGUUUUUAUUUUUCCAGAACUUUUUACCCUUUUAAAUUUCGCAACCCAGACGAUUUCUGAUUGCGCCACUAAAAGGGAUGAUUGAAAAUUUAGGAAUGUACUUAUUUAUGAAAUAUAGUUUAACAUAGUAGUCGGUUUAUUAUGUAUGCAAUUAGGAUUAAAGAAAUGUGGAAGGGUCUAACUCUAGACUAUAGUGGUUGUUGAUUAUUUGAAACCAAAAGUGUAUUUUAUUGUUUGGAAAUGAAAUUUGAAUAUUUUAUUAUUUCACAACUAGAGCCGGUGAAAACACGGAAUAAUGAAAACGAAAAAUCCUUACUCGACGGUUGGAAAGCUCUCACAGGAUGAGAGAAAGCCUCGAGAAUUGGAACUCUACCAAUCUAAUUUGAAUUAGAUUGGUGUGGAAUCAUAAUCAAAUCAUUUUGAAAUUGUUUACUGUUUUCUUGGCCACAACUAGAGCCAACAGAAACACGGAAUGAUGACAACGAAAAACCCUCACUCAACGGUGAGAAAGCUCUCACAAGAGAAGAGAAAGCCUCCAUAAUUGGAAGUCUACCCAUCUAAUUUGACCGUAUCUAAUUCAUCUCUUUGUCAGUAGUGUAUUACACUCUACAAUUUGCAAGGCAUUAUUGUUUUUCUCAGCAAGUGCUCCCCUGGACCACACACUCUAAUUUGGGCUUGUCACAUUCAAUUUUCCCUAAAUGAAAAUUCUUUGUCACUUUCAAGAUUAAAAUAUACCUACAGAGGAAGAAAUGUUCCAUAAACCAAGGAGAACAAGGACAACCUUCGUGUUUGACUGAAACUUAACAAACAAACGAAUAAAUAAAUAAGUAUAUAAAUAAACGCAGUAGUGCCAUGGAAGUGCAAGGAGCCAAAUUCCAGAAAUAACAAUACAAUUUUCUUUCUUUCUUCCUUAUCUCUGCCUGCAAAAGAUAAGGUUGGCCUUUAUUUCGAGUUUCACAUGAUGUAUUAAUAUUUAUUGACAUAAUUGAAUUGUUCAUUGGUUAUUAGCAUUUGGGUACAAAAUAUAUUGCUUGAAAUCUUGAAAAUCGGCUGCUAAAUAUUGGACAAAUUCCAGAAUUACUAUUCUGUUCUUUUUGCUCUGCUUAUGGUAGUUAACUGAUUUUUUUUUUCUUUUUUUUUUAAAGCUAAACUGCCAAUUUGCCUCCUGAACUAUCACGUGACUUUCAAUUUCUCAUCUGAACUUUUUAAUUAUAAAAUUAAGGACUUAAACUAUUUUUUUGGCCAAUUUUCCCCAUACCAUUAGUUUUUCAUAGAUUUCAUCCAAAUUAACGUUAACUCUUAUCACAUGACUCUCCUUUAUGGACAAAAACGUCACUUCGCUAAACCUUUAGACACAAAAGCUAUAGAAUCACACAUAUUUGCAUAGUUAUUUUUUAGAAAUCUAAGGUUUUUAAUUAUUUUAAAAAGUGAAGCGAUUGAACUAUCCUUGCAUGUUGUGCACAUGAUUCCAUUUAAUAGAAAUUUGGAUGGAAUGAAUGAAAAAUUAACAGCAGGAGCAAAUCGGCCAAAAAAAUUAGUUGAAGUCCUUAAUUUUCCAAUUAAAAAGUUCAGAGGUAAAUUGAAAGUUAGGUGAUAGUUCAGCAGGCAAAUCGACAGUUUACUUUUUUUUAUAAUAAUUAUUGGUUCUUCAAAAGUUAGGUUGGGAGCUUUUGGUGUUCUUCUGUGCAAACAUUCUUGUUAAAUACUUGAUAUUUUUGUUUGUUCUCUAUUUAUUUUCUGCAUAUUUUGGGGUCUUCUGGUUUUGAUUCUGUUGACUAUUUCAAGUGAUUUUCUAAGAGGAUGAAAAGAUUAAGCCUUUUCGGGUUUUCUGGUUGCUUUUGUUUUGUUGAACGUUUGAAUCUGUUUUCCCUUCUUUCACAGCUUGCUGCAACACAAGAUAAAUAUGGAAGUCAAAUUUGCAAUCAAGAACGAUGUCACCGAAGUAAGAUUUCUCUUCAUGAAAGUCAAGCAUUCAACUUUAAUUUGUUUUUAUACUUUGAUUUGGCUUACUAUGCGCUCUCGUUGUACUCUUGGUUCUUGCAGCUGAUUGGAAAUACCCCGUUGGUAUAUCUCAACAAUGUCGUGGAUGGUUGCGUAGCACGAAUUGCUGCCAAGCUGGAGUCAAUGGAGCCCUGCUCAAGUGUAAAAGACAGGCAUAUUCUUUGCACUUUUUCCUUGGGAAUAUUGGUUUUCGUUUUCCUAGUAGUACGACAGCAAUCAAAACUCAAAGAUUGAAUAUUGAAACGCGUUCAGUUUCAUCUUAAAUUGUUAUAUGCAGGAUUGCAUAUAGUAUGAUCAAGGACGACGAGGAUAAAGGUCUAAUUACGCCAGGGAAGGUUAGCUAUAAAUCUUUUCCAUAUCUGUAGAUGUUUUUUUCAGCAUGUAAUGGAGAUUUUAAUAUGCAUGAUCGAGAAUGUGGUGUGGCGUGGCGUGUUUCAUGUUUCAACGAACUAACUUCCCUUGGUUCUUAAUAUGCAUGAUCUUCGGGAACUGAAGACUGUUCUCAUUGAGGCCACGAGUGGCAACACGGGCAUUGGAUUGGCAUUCAUUGCAGCAAGCAGGGGCUACAAGGUUAAGCUAACCAUGCCAUCUUCAAUGAGUAUUGAGAGAAGAAUUGUGCUCCUAGCUUUCGGGGCUGAGGUGUACCUCACAGAUCCUGCCAAGGGUAUUAAGGGAGCUUUUGAUAAAGCCGAGGAGUUGUUGAGUGACACGCCUAAUGGUUAUAUACUUGGCCAAUUUGAAAAUCCUGCCAAUCCGAAGGUAACUUUUGGAGUAACUGUGACAAAGUCCGAAGGUAACUUUUGGAGUAACUGUGACAUGUCUAGAUGGUUGAGAGAGUUUAUGAAUCGUUAUAUGACCAUUGGUGUAGAUUCAUUACGAAACCACUGGCCCGGAGAUAUGGAGAGACACAGGAGCGAAGGUUGAUGCCCUGGUUUCGGGAAUAGGGACUGGGGGUACAGUUGCCGGUACAGGGAAAUUCCUUAAAGAGCAGAAUCCAGAGAUUAAGGUUGAGUUUUGUAUGUUUGUAUUAUAUAUACAGAUAUUACACGAGUAUGUGAGGAGAAAAGUUAUCAAUAAGCAUUUUCUUUUGUGUAGGUGUACGGUGUAGAACCAGCCGAAAGCCCAGUCUUGAACGGUGGCCAAGCUGGUGAGUUACUAUAAUGCCGGCGUUUUCCUCGUCUCUGGCUCUCUGCACUAUUGCUUUCUUUGCUCGUGAAAUUCUUUUUCUUGUAGAACAUAUUACAACAGAACAUGAAGAAGAUGCUACGUUUUUCAGAUAGCUUUCUUCGUCGUUAGAAUGUUAAACAAUUUGCAUGGUGUUACAUUAUAGUUUGAUUCGUUUAAGUGGCCCAUCUGUGGUUCAGUUUCUGUAGUAUGAAAUUACCAUUCGAUAGUAUUUGAGAUUUCGUCCUCCUAUAUUGACUGAUGCAUAUGUGGAUUUGUAAUAUUCUCGCUCGUGUUAAAGGGAAGCAUCUGAUCCAAGGAAUCGGUGCUGGUAUCAUACCUGCAGUUCUGGACGUUAGCUUGCUCGAUGAAGUUAUUCAAGUUAGCAUUCAACUAAUUUUAUUGCAUUUCCAGUUCUAUAAGUUCUUGUUUCAUUUUGGUGCCAACAACUCUAACACAAGCACGAAUUUCUCACUAACGACUGCUGAUGUUUAUGUAACAUUUUAGGUAACGAGUGAGGAAGCAAUUGACACCGCGAAGCAGCUUGCCCUGAAAGAAGGUCUUCUGGUAUGGUAUCAAUUUGUUGACAUCGCUUUCACUUUUGUGUCAGUGCUAGGAGUUUGUUACUCUCCAUUAGAUUCUUAGACGAGAAAUUUGAGACUCCUCUUGUUGCACGCAUUCAUCAUUUUUCCAUUUACGGGGCUGAUUGUGAGAGCAAAUUAACAUUGCAGGUGGGGAUUUCAUCUGGUGCCGCGGCCGCUGCUGCAAUAAAGUUGGCUAAGAGGCCGGAAAAUGCUGGAAAACAUUGUUGUAAGUCUGAUUUUGCACUGACCCUUUAGCUUAUACGAUUUCUUCGCUUAAACUUGACAUGGAAUUGUAAAUUCGUAAUCAAAUGCAAUUCUUUCAAACAGACACUCCAGGAACUUAUUCCAUUUAUUUGUUACUUGCGCAGGCUGUUUUCCCCAGUUUUGGAGAGCGUUAUCUGUCUUCUGCACUCUUUAAUUCCGUUAGGCAUGAGGCGGAAAACUUGAGUAUUUGCUGAAAGUGUUGCUGAAUCGGCCUUUUCUUAUAUCACUGUUAUUCUCUCCUUUGUAUUCAAUUUCGAACAAUCUGCUUUCGCAGUUUAGAUUAAUUUAAUUAAAAUAUCGUUCAAAUAAAGAAAUAGUCCUGCAAUUACAAAAAAAUAACAAUUAUUCAAUAUUACCACCGACUGGGAAAACUCAUAGAUUAAUAUCAAAACAUAAGAAAGCCAUUGGGUACAUUUAUGAUUCUAUAGAAAAAAUUAUCAGUAAUCUUAACAUAUUUACAUAGAAGGAAACAUAAGAGCGAUUGAUUUUGUCGAUCUACGUUUGAUUGGUACGGUCACUAUUGAAUUUGGCUUAGCUGACUCUAUCUACGAGCUUAAGCAGUGGACUUCUUGGAGAUUUAUUAGUCUAAGCAGGAAACAAUAUUUUAAAGGUCAUCAUCAAUAAUCGUAAUACAUUUACAAAGAAAGAUGCGAGCGGUUGAUUUUGUUGAUUUACGUUUAAUUGGUACGGUUACUAUUGAAUUUGGCUUUAGCUAACUCUAUCUACGAGCUUAGGCGGAGUCAGCUGGACCAGCAAACAUAUUUGUUUGUGGGUGAUUUAUGCUUUGAUUACUAGUCUAGUAACUACCUCCUCCCCGAUACAAUUUGGAGGGCUUUAAAAAAAUUUAGGAGAACGAAUUGGACUUGUAGUAGUUUAGGAGAACGAAUUGGACUCGUAGUUAGUUCACAAGGCUCUGUAAUCGUUUGGACUUUAUGUUUAGAUUGAUUCGUAAGAGUUGAACUUUAGAUUGGGCAGGGGCUGCGCGAACGCAAGCCCCCACGGCAACAAAUUAUGACAUUGACUCUCCUACAUUGAGGAGAUCAUAGGCAGGCACCCCUUCAAAGUGCAAUGAAGGUCACCAGCCCAGGCCAUAAGCCUUCUUGAUCGCUCAUAGACCCUGUCCAGGUAAGUGCUUUACUCGGUAUUCGUCCUUUAUUUUUAUACCCAUACCGCCUGAUUUCUUUGACCUUAAUUGGUCGAUGUGGGACAUGCUUACUGAUGGCAGUAAUCCAAAAAAGUAGUUCGAAGGUUUUUUUAAGGUAUUUUGGAAAGUUAAUGGAUUGUUAGACGAAUUAUUAAGUGGGGGCAGUGGCAAAGCAACGAAAGCCAAGGGAGGAACCGCCCGUAUGGUUCGUCUGAGCUUGCCGAAAUUUUUAGUUAUGCAGCCUGCGCUGAGCUUGCCGGAAAGUUGGCUGGGGAGAGCCUCGGUUGACUUCAUGGUUGUGUGGGAGGGCCUCGAUUUUACUUCAACGUUGUCGUUUCUUUUUAAUAUAAAAUGAGGACAAUUGAUGACAAAUUAUGAUUAUUUUAAUAAAAUAUUGAUAUCCCUUUCCUUAUCUUUUAAGGAAUUGGAUCUCCUCCUGAGCAAAUGAUAAGGAUCCUCAUGACCACACAAUAUGGACCGUUAGAUUUUGAUAUUACGGCAACAAUUAUUAAAACUUUUAGAAGAACUCUCAUGUUUGUAACCGUUGGAUCAAGAUCCAAAAGUCCGUGUUGUGUGGUUAUGAGGACCCACCAUUUGCUCAAGAGGGGAUCCAAUUCCAUCUUUUAAAACCCCACCUCACCUGUCCCACCUAUACAACAACCAAAAACAUCUAUUUCCAUAUAUUUUGGCAUUUUGCAAUAUAUAUUUAUGUAAUCAUUAUACUAAAAGAACCAAAGCAUCUAUUAGACCAUUUCCAUCUAUUUCCGUAUAUUUUGACAUUUUGCAAUAUAUAUUUAUAUAACAUUAUUGUACAUUAAUGCAUAUUUUUGUUAACGUAUCCAUGCCGUCUUAUAUCCUAAUUUUUAGAAAAUAGUUGUAUCCCCGUAUUUGUGUUCCUAUCCAUGCUACAUAGUUACUAUCUGUAAGAAUUUGGUUGUUUAUAUUUUUUCGGAAUCUUUUAUCCUUUUAAAUUUCGCCUCCCAGAUGAUUUCUAGCUUCACCACUAAGGGGGGUGAUUGGAAAUUUAGGAAUGUACUUAUUUAUGAAAUAUAGUUUAACAUAGUAGUCGGUUUUUAUGUAUGCAAUUAGGAUUAAAGAAAUGUGGAAGGGUCUACCUCUAGACUAUAGUGGUUGUUAAUUAUUUGAAACCAAAAGUGUAUUCUAUUGUUUGGAAAUGAAAUUUGAAUAUUUUAUCGGCCACCUCAGUUUUAUGUCAAGAGUUUUGACAUCAUUGGGAGAACAUAGUGUUGGUUCAUUUAAUUUUCCCAACACAUAGUUUUUAAUGGCAUUUGAUAUAUGUUUAUGCCGAUUAUCGGAUUACGUGUAGUUGAUUAAGUUUAUUAAAUUUUAGUAUAACCUUGCUAAACCCUAAUCAUAAAUGCACUUUGGAUGUAAGAGCAAUGACGUGAUACUUUCUAAUAGUCUGUUCACUAAUUCGUAAUCAACAUGAGAAGAAUUGAACUGAAAAUGAGUAGAUUGGUAUUGAUUCAGAAUCAAAUUCAUAUUGAAAUUGUUUGCUAUUUUUGUAACCACAACUAGAACGGGCGGAAACACGAAACGAUGAAAACGAAAAACACUCGCACGACGAUGAGAAAGCUCUCACAGGAGGAUAAAAAGCCUCGAGAAUUAGAAAUCUACCCAUCUAAUUUGACGGUAUCGAAUUCGACCAUGUCUUCUUUGUCAGUAGUGUAUUACACUCUGCAGUUGGCAAGCAUUAGUGUUUUUCUUAGCACGUGCUCCCCUGGACCACACACUCUAAUUUGGGCUUAUUACAUAGGUUUUUUCUUAUCCUAGUAAACAUGACAAGUUUCUGUCCCUUCAAGCUGCCCUGGUAACCAUUUUUUCUUCCACUUUCUUCCUUUCUCUCCGUACUCUGUUCAAAUUUCCCAUUGUUUCACACUCUUGGGUCAAAUUAUCCAGCGAAUAAGAGAUUUGUAGUUUAAUUGAUUAACACGCGUUACACACGCACUUCCUCUCAAGUUGACUUGGUGAUUUUUGCCUUUUUACUUCUUCAGCUUCCCUCCAUUUUUCGCUCUCGUUUCACAUUAGAGACCAGCUUAAAAAAUACCAAAUAAAUAAAAGACUUAUAACUCAAACAGUUAACAAUAAUCAAUUAUGCACUUGAAGUCCGACGUUCAAUUUUCGCUAAAUGAAAAUUCUCUGUGACUUUCACUUUCAAGAUUAAAAUAUACCUACAGAGGAAGAAAUGUUCCAUAAAAGAAACAGAACAAGGACAACGGGACAAGACAACCUUUAAGUUUGACUGAAACUUAACAAACAAACGAAUAAAUAAAUAAGUAAAUAAAUAAACGCAGAAGUGCCCUUAUGGAAGUGCAAGGAGCCAUUUUCCAGAAAAUUACAAUACAAUUUUCUUUAUUUCUUCCAUACUCUGCCUGCAAAAGAUAAGGUUGGUCUUUAUUUCUUUAUUAAUAUUUAAUGACAUAAUUGAAUUGUUCAUUGCUUAUUAGCAUUUGGGUGCAAAAUAUAUUGCUUGAAAUCUUGAAAAUCUGCUGCUAAAUAUUGGACAAAUUCCAGAAUUAUCAUUCUGUUCUUUUUGCUCUGUUUAUGGUAAUUAACUGAUUUUUUUUUCAUAAUUUUUUUUAAUAAUUAUUGGUUCUUCAAAAUUUAGGUUGGGAGCUUUUGGUGGUCUUCUGUGUAAACAUUCUUGUUAAAUACUUGAUAUUUUUGUUUGUUCUCUAUUUAUUUUCUGCAUAUUUUGGGGUCUUCUGGGUUUGAUUCUGUUGACUAUUUCUGGGCUUUUGCAAUAUUUUGCUCCUAUAUUUUUCAAGUGAUUUUCUAAGAGGAUGAAACGAUUAAGCGUUUCGGGUUUUCUGGUUGCUUCUGUUUUGUUGAACGUUUGAAUCUGUUUUCCCUUCUUUCACAGCUUGCUGCAACAUAAGAUAAAUAUGGAAGUCAAAUUUGCAAUCAAGAACGAUGUCACCGAAGUAAGAUUUCUCUUCACGAAAGUCAAGCAUUCAAUUUUUAUUUUUCUUUGUUUUACCGUAUAUUUUAACGAAAAAUCAUAUUUUUACGCUAAAAAGUUAAUAUGAUAUUAUUCACUUUACCUUUUAUUUUGUCAUUUUUGUUAAAACUCAAAGUUUUCAAGUCAUUUUCAUUAGUUUUCUUUGUUUUUAUAUGUUGAUUUGGCUUAAGAUGUGCUCUCGUUGUACUCUUGGUUCUUGCAGCUGAUUGGAAAUACCCCGUUGGUAUAUCUCAACAAUGUCGUGGAUGGUUGCGUAGCACGAAUUGCUGCCAAGCUAGAGUCAAUGGAGCCCUGCUCAAGUGUAAAAGACAGGCAUAUUCUUUGCACUUUUUCCUUGGGAAUAUUGGUUUUCGUUUUCCUAGUAUGACAGCAAAUCAAAACUCAAGAUUACGAACGCGUUUGAUCUUAAAUUUGUAUAUGCAGGAUUGCAUCUAGUAUGAUCAGGACGCCGAGGAUAAAGGUCUAAUUACGCCAGGGAAGGUUAGCUAUAAAUCUUUUCCAUAUAUGUAGAUGUUUUUUCAGCAUGCAAUGGAGAUUUUACAAGUUUAAUCAUCGUUCAAUAUGGUUAAUACUUAUAAGGAAUGAGCCUCGCUCCACCCCCACCCCGCCAUUGUUCUUACUGCUGUGGCUGGUUCACUUUUCUCUGUACCCAAAAUAUUUUCUAGAAUUCCGCUAACAAAAUCUAUACAUAAAUUUUCUCUUUUGUUUCUGUUCUUUUGAGGAUAACAAGUUUGACUAUGUAAGGGAGUUUCCACUUACAUGAUCGAGAAUGUGGCGUGGCGGGUUUCAUGUUUCAACGAACUAACUUCCCUUGGUUCUUAAUAUGCAUGAUCAUCGGGAACUGAAGACUGUUCUCAUUGAGGGCACGAGUGGCAACACCGGCAUUGGAUUGGCAUUCAUUGCAGCAAGCAGGGGCUACAAGGUUAAACUAACCAUGCCAUCUUCAAUGAGUAUUGAGAGAAGAAUUGUGAUGCUAGCUUUCGGUGCUGAGGUGUACCUUACAGAUCCUGCCAAGGGCAUUAAGGGAGUCUUUGAUAAAGCUGAGGAGUUAUUGAGUAACACGCCUAACGGUUACAUACUAGGCCAAUUUGAAAAUCCUGCCAAUCCGAAGGUAACUUUUGGAGCAACUGUGACAUGUCUAGAUGGUUGAGAGAGUUUAUGAAUCGUUAUGUGACCAUUGGUGUAGAUUCAUUAUGAAACCACUGGCCCGGAGAUAUGGAGAGACACAGGAGGGAAGGUUGAUGCCCUGGUUUCGGGAAUAGGGACUGGGGGUACAGUUGCCGGUGCAGGGACAUUCCUUAAAGAGCAGAAUCCAGAGAUUAAGGUUGAAUUUUGUAUGUUUGUAUUAUAUAUACGAGUAUUACAUGAGUGCGUGAGGAGAAAAGUUAUUAAUAAGCAUUUUCUUUUGUCUAGGUGUACGGUGUAGAACCAGCUGAAAGCCCAGUCUUGAACGGUGGCCAAGCUGGUGAGUUAGUAUAAUGCUGGCGUUUUCCUCGUCUCUGGCUCUCUGCACUAUUGCUUCUUUGCUCGUGAAAUUCUUUUUCUUGUUGAACAUAUUACAACAGAACACGAAGAAGAUGCUAGGUUUUUCGGGUUAGCUAUUUGUCUUGCAGAAUGGAGCGAAAUAUGAGACAUGUUUCUUCGUCGUUAGAAUGUUAAACAAUUUGCAUAGUAUUACAUUUUAGUUUGAUUUGUUUAAGUGGCCUCUGCGGUUAAGUUUCUGUAGUAUGAAAUUACCGUUCCAUGGUAUUUGAGAUUUCGUCCUCCUAUUGACUGAUGCAUAUAUGGGUUUGUAAUAUCGUUGCUCGUGUCAAAGGGAAGCAUCUGAUCCAAGGAAUUGGUGCUGGUAUCCUACCUGUAGUUCUGGACAUUAGGUUGCUUGAUGAAGUUAUUGAAGUAAGCGUUCAGCUCAUUUUAUUGCAUGUCAGUUCUAUAAGUUCUUGUUUCAUUUUGGUGCCAACAACUCUAAUACAAGCACGAAUUUCUCGUUAAUGACUGCUGAUGUUUAUGUAACAUUUAGGUAACAAGUGAGGAAGCAAUUGACACCGCGAAGCAGCUUGCCCUGAAAGAAGGUCUUCUGGUAUGGUAUCAAUUAGUUAGCAUCACUUUCACUUUUGUAUCAGUGCUAGGAGUUUGUUAGACGAGAAAUUUGAGACUCCUCUUGUUGCACGCAUUCAUCAUUUUUCCAUUUACGGGGCUGAUUGUGAAAUUAACAUUGCAGGUGGGGAUUUCAUCUGGUGCUGCGGCCGCUGCUGCAAUAAAGUUGGCUAAGAGGCCGGAAUAUGCUGGAAAACUCAUUGUUGUAAGUCGAUUUUGCACUGUCCCUUUAGCUUACAUGAUCUAUUCGCUUAAACUUGGCUUGGAAUUGUAAAUUCGUAAUCAAAUGCAAUUCUUUCAAACAGACACUCCAGGAACUUAUUCCAUUUAUUUGUUACUUGUGCAGGCUGUGUUCCCCAGUUUUGGAGAGCGUUAUCUGUCUUCUGCACUUUUUGAUUCCAUUAGGCAUGAGGCGGAAAACUUGAGUAUUUGCUGAAAGUGUUGCUGAAUCGGCCUUUUCUUAGUUUCCUAGCUCCUUGAAAUAACACGAAAACUUUGCUCCAGUUUGAAAUGAAAAUAUUUCUGGGACCUUUUACCAAUGAACUAAUAAACUCUGGUUGAUGGCUUUCUUCUUGAUAGCAUCAGUAGUAGCAAUGUUAAGAAAAUCUGUGUUUGACCAAAAAUGAAUAGAAAGUUAAAGAAAAAGGAGUUCCCAGUAGUAGCAAUGUUAGAUUUUCUUGGUUUUUGUUGUUUGAUUGUCAAUUUCUAUCCUGACAAAAACAGUACCUGACAUAAACAAUAUCCAAUAAAAAUUGAUUAUACAAUUAACGGAUGUGAGUGGAGGAUCUUCACAAAAAGAAUCGAAUGAGGAUCCUCACAAAAAGAAUCGAAUGAGGAUCCUCUUGUUUGAACUGAUAUCCCUUUCCUUAUCUAUUAAAACCCCUCACCUGUCCCACCAAUACAACAACCAAAACAUCUAUUUCCAUAUAUUUUGACUUUUGCAAUAUAUAUUUAUGUAAUCAUUUUAUAUAAAACAACCAAAGCAUCUAUUUCCAUCUAUUUCCGUAUAUUUUGACAUUUUGCAAUAUAUAUUUAUAUAAACAUUAUUGUAUAUUAAUGCAUAUUUUUAUUAACGUGUCCAUGCCGUCUUAUAUCCUAAUAUUUAGAAAAUAGUUGUAUUGUUGUAUUUGUGUCUCUAUCCAUGCUACAUAGUUAGUACCAAAAGGAUUUGGUUGUUUAUAUUUUUCCGGAACUUUUUACCCUUUUAAAUUUCGUCCCCUAGACGAUUUCUGGCUUCGCCACUAAGGGGGUGAUUGAAAAUUUAGGAAUGCACUUAUUUAUUAAAGGCUAAAUAGCUAAAAUGGUCUAUGAGAUUUGCAUAAUCAAUAGAAAUAGUCAUUGAUUCAAAAUCAAUAGAAAUUGUCUCUGAGAUAAUCCAUCAUCCAUGAUUUUGGUCAUUCCAUUAAAAACUCUUUGGGUAAUUUUCAAAGCUUCGUAACUCAAGGGUGAUUGAAAAUUUAGGAAUGUACUUAUUUAUUAAAGGCUAAAUAGUCAAAAUGGUCCAUGAGAUUUGCAUAAUCAAUAGAAAUGGUCACUGAGAUUCAAAAUCAAUAGAAAUGGUCUCUGAGAUUGUCCAUCAUCCAUGAUUUUGGUCAUUCCAUUAAAAACUCUUAGGGCAAUUGUCAAAACUUCGUAACUUAAUCAUUUCACAACCAAAUUCGACCCAUAAUAUAUUAACAUGAAGAUAGGAAAGUGUAAAACAAGAUUAUAUAUAUUUGGAAGCUCAAUGGUUGCUGAAUAUGGCUGGAAAAUAGUCUGAAAUGUGACUGGUCCACUGGAAAACUGAAAAACUCGCUGGAAACUGGGUAAACUUUAAACAUUCAUAACUUCUUCAAUACUCAACGAAAUCGAGUGAUUCAAAAACCAAAAUCAUACUUCUCGACAAGAUGAAGAGUUUUUAAUGGAAUGACCAAAAUCAUGGAUGGUGGACAAUCUCAGAGACUAUUUCUAUUGAUUUUCAAUCUUAGGGACCAUUUCUAUUGAUUUUCAAUCUUAGGGACCAUUUCUAUUAAUUAUGCAAAUCUCAAUGACCAUUUUAGCUAUUUAGCAUUUAUUAAAUAUAGUUUAACAUAGUAGUCGGUUUCUUAUGUAUGCAAUUAGGAUUAAAUAAAUGUGGAAGGGUCUAACUGUAAACUAUAGUGGUUGUUGAUUAUUUGAAACCAAAAGUGUAUUUUAUGGUUUGGAAAUGAAAUUUGAAUUUAUUAUCCGCCAUCUCAGUUCUUAUGUCAAGAGUUUUGACAUCUUUGGGAGAACAUAGUGUUGGUUCAUUUAAUUUUCCCAACACAUAGUUUUAAUGGCAUUUGGUAUAUGCAUUUGCCAAUUAUGUGUAGUUGAUUAAGUUCUUUAAUUUUAGUAUAACCUUGCUAAAUCCUAAUCAUAAAUGCACUUUGGAUGUAAGAGUAAUGAUGUGAUACUUUCUAGGGAAUUUUUAUUUGGACCUAGCUAUCCUCUUUUCACACCAAACUUUAAUAUUUUUGCACCUAAAUUCUCAAUUUUACCCUUAGAAAAAACUAAAAGGGCAAAAAUGAAAAAAAAAAAAAAAAAACCUAACCAACCCCCCCCCGCGACAACAACACUGUUUCCGGCAACUCUCCUCCCAUCGCCGUCGAAUCUGCCAUCAGCGCCAUCGUUUCUCUUCCUCUUUCACUUCUUCCUCUUCCUUCUCUCUUGUUUCUCAAUUUUCGUCUCAGAUUUGAAUCCUAAUGAUUGAAAGGAUCAAAUCUCGCCCUGGUGAUUUUGGCCUUAAGUUCUUCAUCGUGACGAUGGGGGUUGGAACCGCCACUUUAGACCAAACCUUGGCGGUGAUGGAGCUUGCUGCUAAUGAGGUGGAACUAAGCGUCCUUGUUGGCGAACGCCGUGAACGACUAGCCGUCGGAGAAAGUAAGUUAAAGACAUAAUCAAAUGUGUAAGCGCUGGGAUCAAGUCCAACGUAACUUUUGUUAGCGGGAGAAGGCGGCAAAGCUAAAAUUGAGAGGGAGGCAAGUGGUGGUGGUUUGGGUGGUGGUGCAAUGUCAAGUUGGGGAUGGGUUUCAGCCGUUAGGCUGAAAAUGGGUGUAGAAAGAUUAUUUCGUAUAAGGGUAAAAUGCGAAUUAUGAAGAAUAAUUUUUGUUUGGGUUGUGAUAUCCGCACACCCCAUUUUACUUCUCACACACCCUUCUAAUUUUUGACCAUUGGAUCGGAUUAAUUGAAGAAGAUCAACGGACAAAAAUUAACAAGGGGUGUGAGAAGUAAUUUGGGGUGUGUGGAUAGCACACCCCUUUUUGUUAAUGGGUGUAGAAAGACAUAUUCUGGGUCUAAAUAAAACUACUCUACUUUCUAAUAGCCCGUUUACUAAUUCUUAAUUAUAAGAGGAAUUGAACUGAUGAUGAGUUAGAUUGGUGUAGAAUCAGAAUCAAAUUCUGGUUGAAAUUGUUUACUAUUUUUGUGGCCACGAGCAGAGCUGGCGGAAACACAGAAUGAUGAAAACGAAAAACACUCACUCGACGGUGAGAAAGCUCUCACAGGAGGAGAGAAAGCCUCGAGAAUUGGAAGUCUACCCAUCUAAUUUGAUCGUAUCUUUUUUAUUUUUAUUUUUUUAUUUUUUUUACAUUUUAUCAAAGAUACUUCUUCAUAAACAGGCAAAAGGAAUACAAGAUUAGGAGAAAAUUUUCAUUGUGAUGGGAAUAUGAGUGGUACAUCACGUGUUUUUAUGUAAGUGAUGAGAAAUUUUAUUUUUUAAGUUAUUAACUUUUUAAUACACAUAUCCCACAAUUUGUAUAAUGACACAUGGUGUACCACCCUGUGUGCCGAUCACACUAAAAAAUUACUCUAGGUCAGCUGCCAACUGCAGGACCAUAUAAAGAAGAAACUAAAAUACAGAUAGGCAAGAAACUUAAGGCCAGAUAAAGAAGACCACCAACAUAGCUGUGUUGUUGACCUUAAGAACCAAGCAACCACAAAAAUCAGUGUGGGCAGGCGAGGCCAUCCAUGGACAUGAAAUAAACUAGAGCAUAUGGGGGUCAGGAAACCCAAACUUCCAGAAUUAUCCAUCUUUUACAAUGCGAGAAAACACCAAAUUUUCGGACACACGAGAAAAUAUGUCUGCGCGUUGGUGCGGGAACUUGUUGUUUCAAGUGUAAUCGGAUGAAUAAAACACGUUUAAGUUGAAUAAAUUCAACACAAUUAUGAACAAAGUCUUUUUUAUAUACAUUCAAGUGAGCUGGCAUAUAAACACAUUGUACAAUUUGUGGGAAAAACUAAACGUCUUUGAUUAGAAAGAGAUGGUUUCCAAAAAAAAAAAAAGCAUUAGUUCACACAAAAUUUCGGUUACCAAAUCCAAAAAAAACCAAAAACAAAAAUGUGACUCUCUAUAUGGCUUUCUUACUACACAAAAAUAUUCCUUAGUUAAAGCAUGCCACACAUCAUAUGCCACACAUCAUCACAUUGCUAUUAUAUGAAGUAUAUUCCUCAGUGGCAAGCAAUAUACUCUCCUUAGCAUGACCUCUCAAUCCCCUCUCUUUAUCUCCCUAGAAUCGUACAACCCAUAAAGACAGUGCAUAGACAUACGCUCACACACUGAAGAAUGAACGCAUUAUAUUUAGUUGGCACCGUUCAACUUUAAAAGCAGUGAGACCUUCCAAAGGCACAGCCUAACUGGCCUUGGUUCAAAUAACCAAAUUGAGAACAACAAUUGAAUUUUAGAAAAGCUGUACAGAGGGGAAAAAAAAGAAAAAACAAUCCUAUCACAACUGAAAAACAAAAUCAAAAUGAACUGAAUAAAAUUUCAGCAGAGCUUGAACACUAACAUCCUUUGAAAACAUGUGUUGGUUACGUAUAAUAUAUAUGCGCAUAAAUUAAGAAAAUGACUUGAGUGCCCUAGCAGUAGUCUUUACGUUGAACCAAAUCACUAUUAGGUUAAAUGUAUUGAUUCACGCAUCUUCUUUUAUGUGCUAAAUAUCUACUAAAUUGCCCUACGAAAAUGACAUAAAACAACUUUUAAAAGUGACAAUAUAUGCAGCACCAGGAUGUUGCAGAACUCACUGCCCCAAUUUAAGAUUCAGUUUUUGUCCAAUGUAUGUAUAAGCUUAGAUACAUCUGAGAAUUUGCUUUUCAACAGUUGUUACUCUCAUCUUCUUUUGAGAGAGAUAGAUACAAGGGUUAAGAUUACAAUGGGGAAGAGUUAAGAAUCCCUCUAAAAUACUAAAGAAAAACAUACCUAGAAUGGAGUAAACAACUAUUUGUCUCCAUGUCAGUUUCUCAUAGCAUUUAUGCUGUUAGAAAGAUAGUGCUCCACUCCAGAAGGAUGGACAAAUUUACCAGAUGGAGACUGACCCAAAGAAAACAUAAUUAAAAGUUAGCAUCUGACGAACAAUUAAGGUGAUGCAAAAGAGCAACACGUGAUGUGAAAUUAUUAUACCAAAAUAUCUAAGGUCUGUUAAUCCAAUCACCCAAUAAAACAGAACUGAAAUUAAGCACAAUAAUAUCAAAAUUAAAAGGAAGGAAUAAUAUGAAACAUUGUGCAUAGAACGUUCGUGAGAAUGAAUCACACAACAAUCAAGGAUGGACAAAUCACAAAAGUGACAAUUAAAGGGCACCUAACAGACACCCCCAUCUCUCUCUCUCUGCAAUCGCAGAAAUCCCUCGGGUUUCAGGAAGAAAUGGAAAACGAAAUGCUUUUCCAUCCCCUACCUAUACCCAUACCUCCCUUACCCGUUCCCUUUACCCUCACAGAAAAUCCUCCCAUCUCUCUUUCUCACCCUUGUCCCAUCUGUCUGUCUGCAAAUUGCAAAAAAGAAACCCUAAACAAAUCCCUGAAAUCCCUCACCUAAAUCCCCUCACAUUUCUUUCAGAACACCCCCCUCUCUUUCUCUCUGCAAAACCUAAACCAGAUCUCCUAGAUCCUAUCUCAAACACCCGACAUACAACCAAGAAGCCAAGAUAUUAAAGCAAUCUCUACAUAAUACUUUGGAACAAUGAAGCAAAAUGGUUCUUGUUUCUUGUCCAAAACCGUUGGUGCUGCCGCACAUUGUUAUCAGUUAAGGGUUUAUCAAAACCCACCCAAAAAUUACCUUCAUAAAAAAUGCCACCACAAACCUAUUAAGCCCAGUCAAUCAAGAACCUACUUGAUUAAUUUCAACUCAGCAGAUAGUCUAGGUUUUUUGUUUUUUAUGCAGUAAUUAUAGAGCAAAUGGAUAAAAUUAUUGACUAUUUAUACACUAUUGUUGUUUCAUAAGCUUCUCAUUUUCUUAGUAUCAAGCUCUCUUUGUGGGCAAAAAUUAUAAUAAUAAUAAUAACAAUACUAAUUCAAUAAGUAAUGGAGAUUACCAAGGAAAUGAGUUUUAGGUUCUGAAUGGUUUACCGAUUCCCAUCCAUUUGGUGUGAAGACUUUCUUUGUUUUAUGUUAGUUGACGCACAAACUCUCACAAAUGGUGUUUCAACAACCGACCUUGCUCCUAACAAACUGCAAGAACAGAAAUUGCAUUAUAUGAAAAUAGUUGAAAAUUAUUCUUUUAAUCGUAAAUCAUAAAGUUCGAAACUUUCAAUCAAAAUAAUUCAGAACCUCAAACUGAGAACAAAACUUCUACAUUGAUAAUAACAACCCCGAACAAUGAACGAAACAUUGAACCGAAAUCAAAUCAUGUGAUACCUUUUCAGGUGAUGCCCCUUAUCAGAUCAGAUUAUGUACCCAAGAAUGGACUGAAAACAAAGCACUCAUCAGUGUAGUACAUUACACAAAAUUCCAUUUAAUUCUUCACCAAAAAAAAAAACAACACAUUUAAAUAACAAAAUAUAAAAAAAUCCAAGAAAGUAAGUUCAUAACCAACAACCAAUCAUCAAGAACAAACCCCAUCAAGCCCAAACCCAAAUACAAACGCCACUAACAUAAUCACCCAAAAUUCACUACAGUAAACACAAAACCCACCAAAAAAUUACCUUCAUAAAAAAUGCCACCAAAAACCUAUUAAGCCCAGUCAAUAAAGAACCUAUUUGACGAAUUUCAACUUAGCAAAUAGUUAGAUUAUUGCCCAUUAAACAGGUAGAUCAAAGUAAGAGUAUAUCCAGUUAAUAUUACAGUACAAAUUUUGCAUCCCAAGGAAAAAUACCAAAUUCAACCUCAACCAAUAAAAUAGCAUUAAGGAAUGUGAAUUUUCAACUAUUUUGACCAAAUAAACAACUUUCCAUUCUAAUUUCAUCAAUUUCUCGGUAAAUUAAAAAGGCAAAAACAUAUAAUUAGAAGCCAAUUCAACAAUUAACAAAAAAGUUACAAAAAUUAACUCAAAUUCGGUAGCACAGCCUGCUAUAAAGUAGAGGAAGUGUAUGAGUAAUGGAUGUCCAGGGUUGGUCCUUAUGCAGAAGGAAGCAUAGGAAGCAUAAAUGGGAUAUCAAGUGAGGAUCUCAAGUAAAUUUGCAACAACACAAAACCCAACCAGCAACAAUUUGUUCAUUACAUCUUAAAACACAAAAUUUUGUCCGAAAAAUAAGACAUUUAAUGCAGAAAGCUCAAAACUUUGCCUCUCAAAACUAACAUCUGAGAGAGCAUUGCACUUCUUAUCUUUAAAAGCAUGAAUGGUGAACUAAACAAAAGAAUUAAGAAUCUACAAUGAACUAAAUAAAAACACACUUUUUACAAACAUAUUCGCACAAAAAUUAAAACUGUAUUGAGAAACUCACCAUUUUGACAAAAAAAAAAUUAUACCAGUAACUGAACACAAUAAUAAAUGAUUUUAGGAUACUUGUUCACUAAUAUAAAUUUGCAAGUUUAAGAGACAAUGACAACCUGAAUCCUUAAAAAGGUUAUUUACACCUAAAAUGAAACAGACAUAUCCAAAGGACAUAACAUAGUGAUCUUUUGUGAGUUUAAUAUCCGGACUGGAGUUUUUAAUUUUAUGUGGUGUUUGCUGUUCUGAUCUGCCCUUUGUAGGGGUUGUGGUUGGGUUGUUCCAGGGAGGUAUGUUAGACUGUUUACUGGCCCGGAACAGAUGUUAAAAUGAUGGUGCCUUCCUUAAGAAGAGAUAAGACCAUAUCGCAUGACAACUUUUAAAAUAUACGGGUUCAUAUAACAUAGAAAAAUGAACAAAUAAAUGCACACCCAAACUACAUGUGCCAGUCAAAUUAAAGGAUGACUUCUUGCUGAGAACAAAAGUAUAAAAAAAAUGAAUACUUUACCUGCAUAUAUCGCACGACAGUGCUAGUAUAAUCAACUGCUUUCCUCUGUGUAAGCUUUCUCAUCUUUUAUCCAAGAAAAGUGUCAGCAUGAGCUGCAACAAACAAACAAUUUGUCACUCAUUAUAAAAAAAAAGGGAAACUAUAUUAAAUUCUGCACUAAACCUCUCAAAAAAAUUAAACCACUAUUUUCAAAUAUCAUUUACACCCUUGGCCUCACUGCCCUACCCUUUUAAAUUGCAAAUCUCAAUAACUUCAAGAUCUAAAACCAAUUCUAAAGGUUUAAUGCGCUUUAAAGUUGAAAAUCCCAGUCAACAAAAGAAGUAUAAUGCAACCAAAUUCUUGUUUAGGUACUUCCCCACAAUUCAAUUGUUUUCUUUUAUUCUCCAUUAAUUUCCAACCGAAACCGAAAAGAACCAGAACAAAAUAGCAAAGACAAAGGCAUAAUUUGGUACAAACCAUCAUAAGGAGGAAGAGGAUGAGCAAGCACAGGUGGGUUGUGAUACUUCGGGGGGCAUACCGACGGCUGAUGCAUCAUUGGGGCCGGUGGUGCCCAGGGGGGGAUAUGAAAUUCUCCGCCCUGCUGUUGACGCUACUGGUGUUGCAAAUGUUGCUGCUGAUGUUGAGGGUGUUGCCGCUGAUGUUGAGGGUGUUGCUGCUGAUGUUGCGGGUGCUGUUGUUUGUGGUGUUGUGGAUCAGGGUACAUCAUUGUCACCCCAAAUCAAAGUACUAUGAGGAAGAGAGAAAGAAAGAAAAAAAAAAAACCAAAACCCUAGGAUUAGAGAACUGAGAAGUGGAAAGUUGCACCAAUUUAAACGCCUUCUGCCAAGCUAAAAAUUGAAUUCAAUUUGCAAAAGUAGUCACACUGGCUAUGAAUUCAAGUCAAAGAGGGCCUAAAGAGUGAAAUUUAGAGUUUCAACACAACAUGGCCUUCUCAUAGAUAUGGUUUCUUUUCAUGAUUUGAGAGAAAAACCCAUCAAUCGAUUGACAGACUUGAACAAUUAGAAAGUAGUAAAGCAUGUAAAAAGCAUAAGAUUUAAAGCUGUUAUGGAUCCAUAUUUCACUAAAGACCACACACGCAGAAACAACCCCCCCUUUUUUCCUUGAAAUCCUACGCCCACCCCUGUGACUGUGCAAACCAUGCAAACCUCUUUGUGACACCGACAUCACCUCUCCCCCCUUCAAUUAAAUGCAUGAACAUCAUACAGUGAAUUACACAUAAAGUACAACAUUAUCAAGUAUACCUCAAGGCGACAUUGGAUACAAUCAUUUUCAAGUCUUCAUCUCUGACACCAAGAGCACUCAUUCGUUAUACAUUUCUUUAUUAACUGAUCAGCUAACUGAAUUUAAAAUUAGCUUCCAAACCAAAAAAGUUCUGAACUUUUAAUUCUACAAUCAUAUUGAGUUCUUCAUCUCUUACUCUAAAUCCCAAUUACAGAAAGACCUAAACUUUACUCAAUUUAAUAUUGCUUUCCCCCAAAACAGCACAAUCCCACAAAAAUAAGGUUAAAAUAAAAACAACAAUAAAUCAUGAAUUAAAUUAAAUUUCUCACCUCCACCUCUAGUAGAGCUUUCACAUUCUUAACCUAUCACCAAAAAAAAAAAAAAAAAUCAAAUUCAAGUAAAAAAAAUAAAGGAGAACUUGAACUUCCAAAUUAAUUGAAAGAACUAUAAAAUCAAUUGGGGGUUUCUACUGAAGUGAAAAGUAAGGGUUUUACAAUCUCAUAAGGAUCGAUGUCUAAGGAGAGGAUCUGUUCAUCUCCGUUCAUCACUAUGAUCUUAUCUUCUUCAAUUCGUCGCUGCGAUUGGAUCUCCAAUCACACACACACACACACACACACAAAAUAUACCCAAUAACCCAAAAGCUAGAAACUAAAACCUAAUCACCCAAAAUCCCCAAUCCUCAACCAAAAACAUAAUCAGUCACAUAUACUACAUACUGAAUCAAAUGCGGAAACUCAAAUCAAACGCCUUCAAUUGCCUAAAGUUUCAAAAUUCAAUCAUUUUGUCGAGCCUAAAUUUGAAAAAUUACAAUCCCCUCUUGACUAACUCCAUCCAAAGAUUCGAAAUACCAGAAAGCAAAUAAUUGUACUAAAAAUUAAGUAAAUUAAGUAUAAAUUAAAAUCAACUUAACAAAAAAACAACAAAGCUACCAAUCACAAUAGGAAUUCUGCAACUACACACUAUUUACAGUGCUAUGCAAAACUCAUAUUUGAAUGAGGGCCUUUACUAUUGAAUUGAAAGAUGGCUGUUCUUUUUUUAAAUUAGGAUGAUCUCACCAAUCAAAAUUACAGCGCUGUGCAAAACUAAUAUUCAUAAUCUAUACCAGCUCUAGCUUGCCUCCACCCGUAACAGCUCUGGUAUGAGAAAUACAGCGCAAUUAGGAUAGAGGAAACCCAAAUAAUGGAAAUUCAAGAAAUUCAACAUACCAUAAGAUUCUUUCUGACGGCCAAAUUCAUCGACAACGGAGGCAAUUGUUGACCGUCACUGUACCUCCAAUUCGCGCCUGCCAUGUUUGAGGCUUUCAACCGUCACUACUUGGUUUGUGGGCUUCACAUCAAAAGAUAAAGGGCCUUAUCAAAACAGAUCCCACUAACCUCCCUAUUUAAAAACAGAACGUGAUUUAGGUGAUUAAAACUCAUUUGAACAAUCAGCAAAACUUGAGUGAAAACAAUUAACUAAUUAACCACUUGCACCCUGCUCACAAUGAAAAGCAAUUUCAAAUCAACAACCAUAUGAAUCCAGAUUCAUUAACAGGGAUGCUUGGCUGAUAAGAAUCCAGGGCACAGAUGAAACCUUGCUAAACUUGGCAUUUCGUCAUUCAAACAAUUGAAUGAAAGAACAAAAUUAUGUCCAAUCAUUCACAAACAACCACUUUUGCCAUAAUUUUGUUCUUUCAUUCAAUUGUUUGAAUGACCACAUGCCAAGUUUGGCACGGUUUCAUCUGUGCCCUAGAUUCUUGUAAAACACGAAGUUUAAAGAAACAUGAAGCUUUAAAGUAACAGAGGCAUAAAUGAAAAACCUUGGAAUAAACUUAACUUAAAUGUAAAAUGGCAAUUGGGUUAACAAAUCUUGGAAUAAAACUAAAUCACAAAAUGAAAAGCACCUCCAAUAAAUUGACAUUUUAUACUUUUGGCUGGCCAAAAAAUAUCUAUCUUUGCUGGAAUAUGCAAAUAAAAAUGCAAAUUGACAAAAACAUUGAAAUUGAAAUGCAUAGAAGCAAAGCAAAUUACAAAACCUUAAACCAAAUGACAGCUUGGAAAUGGAAGCAAAUGUGUGAACUGUUUUUAAUCAUUUAGGUUUAAAUGAUUGGCAAAAGAAAGAGCCAUUCUUUGAAUCAACAUGAUAAAAAACAGAACAUGAUUUAGGUGUUCAAAUAACCAAAACUGAGAAAAACAAAUUACGAAAAAAAUUGAGAAAAACAAUUAAAUUUAAAUGCACAGAACAAAACAAAUUGAGAAAAACACUUAAAUUGAGAAAACUCUUAAAUUUCUUUAUGCACAGAAGUAAAGCCAAGCAUAAAACGUCAAACCAAAUCACAGCCUGUAAAUGUCAGAGCUUCAAAGCAUAGAUAUACUCUAAAUCAAAUAUAAUUAAAGCUAAUCAAACGAAAUUAAAGCUUAUUAAAACAAAUAAGAACUUGGAAAUAGAAAAGCAGCAUAAUAAAAAAAACGAAAAAGCAAAGAUUGAAGAUGGAAAAGGAACCUGCAAUUAGGUUCUCGAGACGCAAAGAGACCAAGAGAACGAAAAAAUACAAUGCAAGAAACCCUAAUUUAUUAGAAAAAAUCAUGAACAGUUAAAACCUAGGUUUAUUCAAACAGUAAUCUAGGAAUUGAAAGAAGGCUUACAUUUUGAAUCGAAGGGAAACCAGCAACAAAAGGCUUCAAUCACUACCUUUGUAUGUUCGAUUGAUCAGUAAAAUACACAGAAUAAGAGUUACAUCACAUAGCAAUAAAUUAGAGAGAAUUCGAAGACAAAAGGAGAUUGAAAUGUGUAAACCUCACAAACAUCACAAACCCUAGAAUUCUUGCCGACCAAAAUCACAAUUUCGAAUCUGAAGCUGCAUGAUAUGAAUAGAGUUUGUAAACCUAAUCCUAAAGCACAAAAGAUUUGAAACAACCCUAGGUAGAGCUUUCGAAACCAACCCCCUUUCUCUCCCUCGAAUCGUACACCCCCUGUGACUCUGUCUGCCUGCAAGCCACAUGCCUUCCUCUCACCAAAUCUCUAUCUCUCUCCCUCCCUGUCUCUCUUCUCUCUCUGCUCGCUCGCUUUCUCUCUCCCGACGGCAUGCUGUCCCCGAGUCCCACUGCAGCUCAUCAGAAAGAAAGGAAAUGAAAGUCUCUAACCCACCCAUCCCGUUCGAAACCCUACAGACUAAAAUGACCAUCGCACCCCUGCCUUUCCAUGAUUAUAACACGCAGCAUGAAGAUCAGCAGCAGAGAGAGCCAGUGGCAUCCUCGUAAAUAAAGUGAAAUUGGGGUCCAAAAACAAUGAACAGUAAAGAACAGUGCCAAUUGGAAUGCUUUCUUUAGACUAAAGUAAUUCCUCUUUUAUAAUUUGAUCUUAUCUAAUUCGACCAUAUCUUCUUUGUCAGUAGUGUAUUUAAACUCUGCAAUGUGAAAGCAUUAGUGUUUUUCUCAGCACGUUAUCCCCUGGACCACACUCUAAUUUGGGCUUAUCAUAUAAGUUUUUUCUUAUCCUAGUAAACAUGACAAGUUUCUGUCCCCUCAAGCUGCCCUGGUAACUUUUUUUUCUUCCACUUUCUUCUUUUCCCUCCGCCCUUUGUUCAAAUUUCCCAUUGUUUUACACUCUUGGGUCAACAAUUGGAUGUUAGCUUGAAUUAUUAUCCAACGAAUAAGAGACUUGAAGUUUAAUUGAUUAACACGCAUGACACAACGCUUCCUCUUAAGUUGAUCUGGUGAUUUUUUCCUUUUACUUCUUCUGCUUCCCUCCAUUUUUCGCUCUUGUUUCUCGUUAGAGACCACUUAAAAAAUACUGAACAAACAAGAGACUUGUAGCUGAAACAGUUAACAAUAAUUAAUUAUGCACUUGAAGUCCAACGUUCGAUUUUCGCUAAAUGAAAAUUCUUUGUCACUUUCAAGAUUCAAAUAUACCUACAGAGGAAGAAAUGUUCCUUAAACGAAACAGAACAAGGACAACGGGACAACCUUCGUGAAACUUAACCAACAAACGAAUAAAUAAAUAAGUAAAUAAAUAAGGAGUAUGAUUAUUUCCCCUCUUUUUUUCAUCUCCUUCUUCUCACAUUAUCUAUUUUGUCUUUCUCUUUUUAUAAAAAAAUAAUAUAAGAUGUUGACGUGGCUUAAUUGUGACCGUUCAAAUAGGAGGAGAGGGAAGGAGAAGGAACAAAAAAGGAGAGAGAAUCAUACUUCAAUAAAUAAACGCAGAAGUGCCUUUAUGGAAGUGCAAGGAGACAUUUUCCAAAAAAUUCCAAUACAAUUUUCUUUCUUUCUUCUAUAUCUCGGCCUGCAAAAGAUAAGGUUGGUAUUUAUUUCGAGUUUCACAUGAUUUAUUAAUAUUUAAUGACAUAAUUGAAUUGUUCGUUGCUUAUUAGCAUUUGGGUGCAAAAUAUAUUGCUUGAAAUCUUGAAAAUCUGCUGCUCAAUAUGUUAGUGUGUAAAUUAUGAUCUGAUGUGGCAGUUGCAAUUCCAGCUCAUAUUGCUAGGAUGUUUAGCUAAAUUGGUUGUAUGCUUAUUUAUUUAAGUCUCAUAGGUCUUAAGUAAGUAGACAUGUGUUUUCAUCUCAUAGGGUGUAAGAUGGAAGGCUGAGAUUGUUUUGAUGUAAUUUGAAUACUACCAAAAGAGUGCAACGAUUAGAAGUGAGUGGAAUUCCCUUCAUCUCUCAGAUAAAUGAAAUGGUGAAUGUGUGAAGAAUAUUCAGAGUCAUAUUCAUUUAAAAAUAGCUCAAAACCCAUGAUAUCUCAUGGUUUUCAUUUAUCAGAAAAUAAGAAUAUUUUAAACACAUUACAUAAAUAAUUCACCUCAAUAAUUCAAGCUUUGGCAAGGCAACUCAACUAACAUCUCCACAAACCUCAAACCCUAGCUCGCUAUCUCUCUCUAUACCUAUAUAAUAUAUAUACACACACACGUACAUACAUAUAUAUACAUAGAUAUAUACUAAUGUACAUCACCCCUACGUAAUGCAUGCAUUGCAUGCUUCUGUGGUUUCAAAAGAAUGGAGCCCUUGCUCCUGUUUAUUGGGGAUUGGAGUCGGUUAUAAUUAACGUUAAAUGCAUGACUAAGCCUUUCAAUGAAGUGGUGGCAAUAGAAUGUAAGAAAUCAUCUAGGAUAUUGACAGCUACAGCCUACAUGCAAGACGUGUUCUACUUAAGUUGGAGGUGUCAUGAACACGGGUUGCCAAGUAUAAGAGUCAUCAAAUUGUAGGUGCAGGUGUCAAAUGCAGGGAUUAAGCAUGCAACACGUAUAAGCUAGUAGCUGCAUACGAUCAUCACAAUAGAGUGCACAAUAAGCACUCGUAAUGAUUGCUGAAGUGAUGAGAAGGAUGAAAUGGAGGUGGUGCUGUCAGUUUGCAUGAAGUGAGAAGAGCAGGUGUUGCAUUCGUAGGAAUGCUUGAGGUAGAUUGACAGGUGGUAUAGUAAAAAUAGGAAUUGGAUCCCCUCCGAGGCAAACCCUCGGGAUCUUCUUGGAGUGAAAUCAGUUCACAUUUUAAAAGGGGCAGUUAGUGUGUAAAUUGUGAUCUGAUGUGGCAGUUGCAUUUCCAGCUUAUAUUGCUAGGAUGUUUAGCUAAAUUAAUUGGUUGUAUGCUUAUUUGUUUAAGUCUCAUAGGUCUUACGUACGUAAGUUGAUAUGUGUCUUCUUCUCAUAGGGUGUAAGAUGGAAGGCUGGGAGUGUUUUGAUGUAAUUUGAAUACUGCAAAAGAGUGCAACGGUUAGAAGUGAGCGGAAUUCCCUUCCUCUCUCAGACAAAUGAAAUGGUUCUCUGUUCUCUCUCUCCCUCUACUAUCAUCUCUUCCAUUUUCGUACUGUAAUUUCUUCUAUUCUCUGAGGAAAUCUGUGUAGUCAUGGCUCACAGUUGCAUAGCUUACUCGAACACUAACAAAAUAUUGGACAAAUUCCAGAAUUAUUAUUCUGUUCUUUUUGCUCUGUUUAUGGUAGUUAACUGAUUUUUUUUUCAUAAUUUUUAUUGGUUCUUCAAAAUUUAGGUUGGGAACUUUUGGUGUUCUUUUGUGUAAACAUUCUUGUUAAAUACUUGAUAUUUUUGUUUGUUCUCUAUUUAUUUUCUGCAUAUUUUGGGGUCUUCUGGUUUUGAUUCUGUUGACUAUUUCAAGUGAUUUUCUAAGAGGAUGAAAAGAUUAAGCGUUUUCGGGUUUUCUGGUUGCUUUUGUUUUGUUGAACGUUUGAAUCUGUUUUCCCUUCUUUCACAGCUUGCUGCAACACAAGAUAAAUAUGGAAGUCAAAUUUGCAAUCAAGAACGAUGUCACCGAAGUAAGAUUUUUCCUCACGAAAGUCAAGCAUUCUAUUUUGACUUUGAUUUGUUUUUAGUUUUCCUUUGUUUGUAGGGAACUUUAACGAAAAGCUUCCGGUACUAUUCACUUUAACAAAAAAUCAUAUUUUUACACUAAAAAUUCUACCUGGUACUAUUCACUUUACCCUUUAUUUUGUCAUUUUCAUUAAAAUUCAAAGUUUUCAAACUCUUUUCAUUAUUUUUCUUUGUUUUGAUAUGUUGAUUUGGCUUACGAUGCGCUCUCGUUGUACUCUUGGUUCUUGCAGCUGAUUGGAAACACCCCGUUGGUAUAUCUCAACAAUGUCGUGGAUGGUUGCGUAGCACGAAUUGCUGCCAAGCUAGAGUCAAUGGAGCCCUGCUCAAGUGUAAAAGACAGGCAUAUUCUUUGCAAUUUUUUCCUUGGGAAUAUUAAUUUUCGUUUUCUCCUAGAACGACAGCAAAUAAAAACUCAACAUUGAUAUACACGUUUGAUCUUAAAUUUGUAUAUGCAGGAUUGCAUAUAGUAUGAUCAAGGACGCCGAGGAUAAAGGUCUAAUUACGCCAGGGAAGGUUAGCUAUAAAUCUUUAGGAAAACUAAUGAAAAGGGUAUCUGUAGAUGUUUUUUCAGCAUGUAAUGGAGAUUUUACAAGUUUAAUCAUCGUUCAAUAUAGUUAAUACUUAUAAGGAAUGAGCCUCGCUCCACCCCCACCCCGCCAUUGUUCUUAUUGCUGUGGCUGGAUCACUUUUCUCUGUAUCCAAAAUAUUUUCAAGUAGAAUUCCGCUAACAAAAUCUAUACAUAAAUUUUCUCUUUUGUUUCUGUUCUUUUGUGGAUAACAAGCUUGACUAUGUAAGGGAGUUUCCACUUACAUGAUCGAGAAUGUGGCGUGGCGUGGCGUGUUUCAUGUUUCAACGAACUAACUUCCCUUGGUUCUUAACAUGCAUGAUCUUCGGGAACUGAAGACUGUUCUCAUUGAGGCCACGGGUGGCAACACCGGCAUUGGAUUGGCAUUCAUUGCAGCAAGCAGGGGCUACAAGGUUAAGGUAACCAUGCCAUCUUCAAUGAGUAUUGAGAGAAGAAUUGUGCUCCUAGCUUUCGGGGCUGAGGUGUACCUCACAGAUCCUGCCAAGGGUACUAAGGGAGUCUUUGAUAAAGCCGAGGAAUUAUUGAGUGACACGCCUAAUGGUUAUAUACUUGGCCAAUUUGAAAAUCCUGCCAAUCCGAAGGUAACUUUUGGAGUGACUGUGACAUGUCUAGAUGGUUGAGAGAGUUUAUGAAUCGAUAUGUGACCGUUGGUGUAGAUUCAUUAUGAAACCACUGGCCCGGAGAUAUGGAGAGACACAGGAGGGAAGGUUGAUGCCCUGGUUUCGGGAAUAGGUACUGGGGGUACAGUUGCCGGUGCAGGGACAUUCCUUAAAGAGCAGAAUCCAGAGAUUAAGGUUGAAUUUUGUUUGUAUUAUAUAUACGGAUAUCACACGAGUACGUGAGGAGAAAAGUUAGUAAUAAGCAUUUUCUUUUGUCUAGGUGUACGGUGUAGAACCAGCCGAAAGCCCAGUCUUGAACGGUGGCCAAGCUGGUGAGUUACUAUGAUGCUGGUGUUUUCCUCGUCUCCGGCUCUCUGCACUAUUGCUUUCUUUGCUCGUGAAUAUUUUUUCUUGUAGAACAUAUUACAACAGAACGUGAAGAGGAUGCUAGGUUUUUCGGGUUAGCUUUUUGUCUUGCAGAAUAGAGCAAAACAUGAGUAAUGUUUCUUCGUCGUUAGAAUGUUAAACAAUUUGCAAAGUAUUGCAUUAUAGUUUGAUUCGUUUAAGUGGCCCAUCUGUGGUUCAGUUUCUGUAGUAUGAAAUUACCGUUCCAUAGUAUUUGAGAUUUUGUCCUCCUAUAUUGACUGAUGUGUAUGUGGAUUUGUAAUAUGUCUCGCUCGUGUCAAAGGGAAGCAUCUGAUCCAAGGAAUUGGUGCUGCACUAUUGCUUCUUUGCUCGUGAAAUUCUUUUUCUUGUUGAACAUAUUACAACCGAACAUGAAGAAGAUGCUAGGUUUUUCGGGUUAGCUAUUUGUCUUGCAGAAUGGAGCGAAAUAUGAGACAUGUUUCUUCGUCGUUAGAAUGUUAAACAAUUUGCAUAGUAUUACAUUUUAGUUUGAUUUGUUUAAGUGGCCUCUGCGGUUAAGUUUCUGUAGUAUGAAAUUACCGUUCCAUAGUAUUUGAGAUUUCGUCCUCCUAUUGACUGAUGCAUAUAUGGGUUUGUAAUAUCGUUGCUCGUGUCAAAGGGAAGCAUCUGAUCCAAGGAAUUGGUGCUGGUAUCCUACCUGUAGUUCUGGACAUUAGCUUGCUUGACGAAGUUAUUGAAGUAAGAGUUCAGCUCAUUUUAUUGCAUUUCAGUUCUAUAAGUUCUUGUUUCAUUUUGGUGCCAACAACUCUAAUACAAGCACGAAUUUCUCGUUAACGACUGCUGAUGUUUAUGUAACAUUUAGGUAACAAGUGAGGAAGCAAUUGAUACCGCGAAGCAGCUUGCCCUGAAAGAAGGUCUUCUGGUAUGGUAUCAAUUAGUUGACAUCGCUUUCACUUUUGUGUCGGUGCUAGGAGUUUGUUACUCUCCAUUAGUUUGUUAGACGAGAAAUUUGAGACUCCUCUUGUUGCACGCAUUCAUCAUUUUUCCAUUUACGGGUCUGAUUGUGAGAGCAAAUUAACAUUGCAGGUGGGGAUUUCAUCUGGUGCCGCGGCCGCUGCUGCAAUAAAGUUGGCUAAGAGGCCGGAAAAUGCAGGAAAACUCAUUGUUGUAAGUCUGAUUUUGCACUGACCCUUUAGCUUAUACUAUUUCUUCGCUUAAACUUGACUUGGAAUUGUAAAUUCGUAAUCAAAUGCAAUUCUUUCAAACAGACACUCCAUUGAUUUCUUCGCUUAAACUUGACCAGGAACUUAUUCCAUUGAUUUGUUACUUGUGAAGGCUGUGUUCCCCAGUUUUGGAGAGCGUUAUCUGUCUUCUGCACUCUUUGAUUCCGUUAGGCAUGAGGCGGAAAACUUGAGAAUUUACUGAAAGUGUUGCUGAAUCGGCCUUUUCUUACUUUCCCAGCUCCUUGAAAUAACGCGAAAACUUUGCUCCAGUUUGAAAUGAAAAUGUUUCUGGGACCUUAUAUAAGAUUAUUACGACCUUUUACCUUACCGAUGAACUAAUAAACUCUGGUUGAUGGCUAUCUUCUUGAUAGCAUCAGUAGAGCAUCCAUGUACCAUAUGAUUCAAGGGGAAUGAGCUAUAUGGUAGCUUACGAGCGAAACCAUGGCUCAAGCGCUGUGUUACAACAUCCGAUUCUUAUAUCGUCUUUUCGAUUUGUGUUAGUUCUGUUAUUUAGGUAAAUGCAAUAACAGUGUUCAUGUACAGCGAACCGGGUUGCUAUGCAAAAAGAAAAAUUAUGUAUGAGAUUUCGGAGUAUAUAUGAGGACCGAGCUGUUCCUCUUCGAUAAUAUAUGACAAAGGUAUUGGUGUUCCAAGAAAUUUGUGAAAAAGUGAAAAAUGUUCCUCCUUGAGUUACGUGACGAGAGAGUGAAACGGAGAUAUACCGCAGUUACACCCAACAAUUUCUCCUGUCGACGGCCAAGAAGCAAAAAGAAUUACAAGCAUGCAGCAUGCAAAUCUGUGUUUGACUAAAAAUGAAUAGAAAGUUAAAAGAAAAAGGAGUUCUCACUAGUGCAAUGUUAGAUUUUCUUGGUACUUGCUGUUUGAUUGUCAAUUAUUUGGGUUUUUAUUUCAACUAUUUAAUUUUGUAUUGAAUGGUUGAAAUGAUCAUGAGCUUUGUAUAAAAUUUGCCAUAUUUUAUUAGGUAAUUACUUGAUAUACAAGUAAAACUUUGAUGAUCUCCUUAUCUCAACAAGGCUGUGGAUGGUUGAGUAGCUCGAAUUGCUGCCAAGCUAGAGACCGUGGUGUAUAUCAAUUAUACUUUGUAAAGAAAGUUGAAGUUCCAUGAUAAAGCCGUUUGAAAAUAUGAGAAGUAGUCCAAUCUUUUAAAGCAUUUGCAAUGUCUUUCCGUUCUCUGAUGCAAAAUUCACACUCAACACUUUAUUGACAUGACAUUCUGAACCAAAAGCAUGCAUGACCAUAUGGUAAGGUCUUUCCGUUCUCCGAUGCGGGAUUCACACUCAACACUUUCUUAACAUGACAUUCUGGACCAAAAGCAAUUAGGGCCACAUGGUAAGGUUUUUUCAUUCUCGAAUGCGAAAUUCACACUUAACACUUUCUUAUGAACCAAAAGCAUGCAUGACCGGUAACGUUUUUCCAUUCCCCAAUGCGGAAUUCAUGGUAAGGUUUUUCCAUUCUCCGGUUUUUUCGUUCUUCAAUGCAGAAUUCAUGGUAAGGUUUUUCCAUUCUCCAAUGCGGAAUUCACACUCAACAGUUUUUCCAUUCUCCAACGUGGAAUUCACACUCAACCAAAAGCAUUCAUGACCACAUAAUUUGGGACACUAUCAUCUUAAUUGCACAACUAAAUAACUACAUUCGAUUCAAAUAUAACAAUAAUUCAAUAUUACUAACAAUUAUACGUGAAAUUGGGCAGGGGCUGCGCGAACGCAAGCCCCCACGGCAACAAAUUAUGACAUUGGCUCUCCUACGCUGAGGAGACCAUAGGCAGGCACCCCUUCAAGGUGCAAUGAAGGUCACCAGCCCAGGCCAUGAGCCUUCUUGAUCGCCCAUAGACCCUGUCC
rnacentral:lncRNA from 1 species